rnacentral:rRNA from 1 species
UACGGGGGGGGCAAGCGUUGUUCGGAAUUACUGGGCGUAAAGGGCUCGUAGGCGGCCAACUAAGUCGGAUGUGAAAUCCCCAGGCUUAACUUGGGAACUGCAUCCGAUACUGGAUGGCUUGAAUCCGGGAGAGGGAUGCGGAAUUCCAGGUGUAGCGGUGAAAUGCGUAGAUAUCUGGAGGAACACCGGUGGCGAAGGCGGCAUCCUGGACCGGCAUUGACGCUGAACAGCGAAAGCCAGGGGAGCAAACGGG